rnacentral:rRNA from 1 species
AACGAACGCUGGCGGCAGGCCUAACACAUGCAAGUCGAACGCUCUAGCAAUAGAGAGUGGCAGACGGGUGAGUAACGCGUGGGAACCUUCCCAGUGGUGCAGAAUAGCCCAGGGGAACUUGGGGUAAUACUGCAUAAGCCCUUCGGGGGAAAGAUUUAUCGCCAUUGGAUGGGCCCGCGUCGGAUUAGCUAGUUGGUGAGGUAAUGGCUCACCAAGGCAACGAUCCGUAGCUGGUUUGAGAGAAUGACCAGCCACACUGGGACUGAGACACGGCCCAGACUCCUACGGGAGGCAGCAGUGGGGAAUCUUGGACAAUGGGCGCAAGCCUGAUCCAGCCAUGCCGCGUGAGUGACGAAGGCCUUAGGGUUGUAAAGCUCUUUUGCCGGGGACGAUAAUGACGGUACCCGGAGAGUAAGUCCCGGCUAACUUCGUGCCAGCAGCCGCCGUAA